UAAGGAAUAUUGGUCAAUGGACGCAAGUCUGAACCAGCCAUGCCGCGUGAAGGAUGAAGGCCCUAGUGGUCGUAAACUUCUUUUAUACGGGAAAAAUUCUUGGGUCGUGAACCUGAGUUGAUGGUACUGUAUGAAUAAGCACCGGCUAACUACGUGCCAGCAGCCGCGGUAAUACGUAGGGAGCAAGCGUUAUCCGGAUUUAUUGGGUGUAAAGGGUGCGUAGGCGGGAAGGCAAGUUGAAUGUGAAAUACCGUGGCUUAACUACGGGGCUGCGUUCAAAACUGUUUUUCUUGAGUACAGCAGAGGCAAGCGGAAUUCCCAGUGUAGCGGUAAUAUGCGUAGAUAUUGGGAGGAACACCGGUGGCGAAGGCGGCUUGCUGGGCUGCAACUGACGCUGAAGCACGAAAGUGUGGGGAGCAAACA
rnacentral:rRNA from 1 species